rnacentral:misc_RNA from 1 species
GAUGAAGAACGUAGUGAAAUGCGAUAAGUAGUGUGAAUUGCAGAAUUCAGUGAAUCAUCGAAUCUUUGAACGCACAUUGCGCCCCUUGGUAUUCCAUGGGACAUGCCUGUUCGAGCGUCAUUUGUACCUUCAAGCUCUGCUUGGUGUUGGGUGUUUGUCUCGCCUCUGCGUGUAGACUCGCCUCAAAACAAUUGGCAGCCGGCGUAUUGAUUUCGGAGCGCAGUACAUCUCGCGCUUUGCACUCAUAACGACGACGUCCAAAAGUACAUUUUUACACUCUUGACCUCGGAUCAGGUAGGGAUACCCGCUGAACUUAAGCAUAUCAAUAAGCGGAGGA